GGACUACACGGGUUUCUAAUCCCGUUUGCUCCCCUGGCUUUCGCGCCUCAGCGUCAGUAGUGGUCCAGCACGUCGCUUUCGCCACCGGCGUUCCUUCCGAUAUCAACGCAUUUCACCGCUCCACCGGAAGUUCCACAUGCCCCUACCACCCUCGAGACCGCCAGUAUCCAAGGCUAUUUUCCGGUUAAGCCGAAAGAUUUCACCUCAGACUUGGCAGCCCGCCUACGCGCCCUUUAAGCCCAGUGAUUCCGAACAACGUUAGGACGGUUCGUCUUACCGCGGCUGCUGGCAC
rnacentral:rRNA from 3 species